rnacentral:rRNA from 1 species
AGCGUAUAUUAAAGUUGUUGCAGUUAAAAAGCUCGUAGUUGAAUUUCGGGAUCUGUCGAUUGGUCGGGCUUCACUGUCCGCACUGACCUGAUGGAUUCCUACCUUCUGAAUAACCAGCAUGCCAUUAAGUUAGUGCGUUGGGGAAGCAGAGCUAUUACCUUGAAAAAAUUAGAGUGCUUAAAGCAGGCUUGUGCUUGAAUAGAUUAGCAUGGAAUAAUAAAAUAGGACGGCAUGGUUCUAUUUUGUUGGUUUCUAGGAUCACCGUAAUGAUUAAUAGGGAUAGUUGGGGGCAUUAGUAUUCAAUUGUCAGAGGUGAAAUUCUUGGAUUUAUUGAAGACUAACUUCUGCGAAAGCAUUUGCCAAGGAUGUUUUCAUUAAUCAAGAACGAAAGUUAGGGGAUCGAAGACGAUCAGAUACCGUCGUAGUCUUAACCAUAAACUAUGCCGACUAGGGAUCGGACGAUGUUAAUUUUUUAAUGACUCGUUC